GUUUGAUCCUGGCUCAGAUUGAACGCUGGCGGCAGGCUUAACACAUGCAAGUCGAGCGGAAACGAUGAUAGCUUGCUAUCAGGCGUCGAGCGGCGGACGGGUGAGUAAUACUUAGGAAUCUACCUAGUAGUGGGGGAUAGCACGGGGAAACUCGUAUUAAUACCGCAUACGACCUACGGGAGAAAGGGGGCAGUUUACUGCUCUCGCUAUUAGAUGAGCCUAAGUCGGAUUAGCUAGAUGGUGGGGUAAAGGCCUACCAUGGCGACGAUCUGUAGCUGGUCUGAGAGGAUGAUCAGCCACACCGGGACUGAGACACGGCCCGGACUCCUACGGGAGGCAGCAGUGGGGAAUAUUGGACAAUGGGGGAAACCCUGAUCCAGCCAUGCCGCGUGUGUGAAGAAGGCCUUUUGGUUGUAAAGCACUUUAAGCAGUGAAGAAGACUCCGUGGUUAAUACCCACGGACGAUGACAUUAGCUGCAGAAUAAGCACCGGCUAACUCUGUGCCAGCAGCCGCGGUAAUACAGAGGGUGCAAGCGUUAAUCGGAAUUACUGGGCGUAAAGGGAGCGUAGGUGGCUCUAUAAGUCAGAUGUGAAAUCCCCGGGCUCAACCUGGGAACUGCAUCUGAAACUGUAGAGCUAGAGUAUGUGAGAGGAAGGUAGAAUUCCAGGUGUAGCGGUGAAAUGCGUAGAGAUCUGGAGGAAUACCGAUGGCGAAGGCAGCCUUCUGGCAUAAUACUGACACUGAGGCUCGAAAGCGUGGGUAGCAAACAGGAUUAGAUACCCUGGUAGUCCACGCCGUAAACGAUGUCUACUAGUCGUUGGGUCCCUUGAGGACUUAGUGACGCAGCUAACGCAAUAAGUAGACCGCCUGGGGAGUACGGCCGCAAGGUUAAAACUCAAAUGAAUUGACGGGGGCCCGCACAAGCGGUGGAGCAUGUGGUUUAAUUCGAUGCAACGCGAAGAACCUUACCUGGUCUUGACAUAUCUAGAAUCCUGCAGAGAUGCGGGAGUGCCUUCGGGAAUUAGAAUACAGGUGCUGCAUGGCUGUCGUCAGCUCGUGUCGUGAGAUGUUGGGUUAAGUCCCGCAACGAGCGCAACCCUUGUCCUUAGUUACCAGCGGGUUAAGCCGGGAAMWCUAARGAUACUGCCAGUGACAAACUGGAGGAAGGCGGGGACGACGUCAAGUCAUCAUGGCCCUUACGACCAGGGCUACACACGUGCUACAAUGGUAGGUACAGAGGGCAGSUACACAGCGAUGUGAUGCGAAUCUCAAAAAGCCUAUCGUAGUCCAGAUUGGAGUCUGCAACUCGACUCCAUGAAGUAGGAAUCGCUAGUAAUCGCGGAUCAGAAUGCCGCGGUGAAUACGUUCCCGGGCCUUGUACACACCGCCCGUCACACCAUGGGAGUUGAUUGCACCAGAAGUGGAUAGCUUAACCUUCGGGGAGGCGUUCACCACGGUGUGGUUGAUGACUGGGGGUGAAGUCGUAACAAGGUAGCCGUAGGGGAACCUGCGGCUGGAUCACC
rnacentral:rRNA from 1 species